rnacentral:rRNA from 1 species
GUGCCAGCCGCCGCGGUAAUACGGAGGGUGCAAGCGUUAUCCGGAUUUACUGGGUUUAAAGGGUGCGUAGGUGGAUUGGGAAGUUAGUGGUGAAAUACUACAGCGCAACUGUGGAACUGCCAUUAAUACUAUCAAUCUUGAAUACAGUGGAGGCGGGCGGAAUGUGUCAUGUAGCGGUGAAAUGCUUAGAUAUGACACAGAACACCAAUUGCGAAGGCAGCUUGCUACACUGUCAUUGACACUGAGGCACGAAAGCGUGGGGAUCAAACAGGAUUAGAUACCCCGGUAGUCC